GGCAUGUGUCGUCAAGCAAACGAGAGGCACAGUGCCUUUGAUGCCACAGUGGCUUUGAUUAUGAUAUUCUCUACUUCAACGGGCAAUGACAUCCAUUACCCACGAGACUGCACGAGUGAGCGACAAGAAAGGGCUGACGCUACGACAACGAACGCUGUGUAACGCCGGUUGCGUCGAGCGUUCAAAGACCCAAGAUCUCGACUUUCCAUACCCACUGUAUGCUGAUCUCUCAUCCACACGGGGGCACUGCUGCCACCUACAGGGCGAGGCCAGAUUUGAACCCGGGUCCUAAGAACUGUGAGGCGGAUGUGUUAACCAGUCAGUCACCGUGCCACCCUAUGACCAAACAUCUGACUCCAGCUAGAUGAGCUACGCCGCAAGCCUAUGUAGCGACUACGCCUAUGGCCCGGAUGUCAACGGCAACCCCAAGAACUAAUAAACUUCUGCAUUCCUGCUUCCUGAACCUCAACCAGCCGGUUUGUUGCCACAAGACACAGGAAACCUGGUUUGUAUCAUCUGGAGCCAUAAAACUGAUGGCAAGUCACCUCAUGACUGGCACAGCAUGGUUUUGUGGGGGGGGGAGUGAUUGAUGACUGCUGUGGUGGUUAGAGACACUGCCUGUGGACAUCAAAAUGACAUUGAAGAAAUCCCACAUUUGUAAUAAACAAACCUUCAGCAAUAUUAUAAACGUACACCUUGAUGUCUGUGUCAUGAAUGUGUCAGUUUUACAGGUCCUCCUCCUCAACUUCAUGCUGAACAUUACAUAAGCUGCGGCUCUGCCAUGCUGCGCAACCCCUCCCCUUUUUGUUUUUCCUUUGUUGUCACCACGGCACGCGAGCGACCCCGGACCACGGCGCUGUCUGAUCAAAGAAGCCGGCUUUGCGGAUUCGAUCCGUUUUCCCAGCCUUGAUCAAAACUAAACCAAUAAAACGGUUCACAAUUUCACACACGGCAGAA